ACAGAGGCCUCGAGCGUUGCGCGGAAUCACUGGGCUUAAAGGGUGCGUAGGCGGAUGUGCAAGUGCCUUGUGAAAUCCCAGAGCUCAACUCUGGAACUGCUUGGUAGACUGCACGUCUUGAGGUCGGUAGAGGUCGCUGGAACGGUUGGUGGAGCGGUGAAAUGCGUAGAUAUCAAGAGGAACACCUGAGGUGAAGACGGGUUGCUGGGCUGACACUGACGCUGAGGCGCGAAAGCUAGGGUAGCAAACGGGA
rnacentral:rRNA from 1 species